AAAAGCUUGCUCUGAUGAUAUUUUUGGUAGGAAUCUCCUUGAGCUUCAGUCAUGCGUUGCUAUGAUAUCAACUUAAAUCCUUUACUGAUAAUUAAAUUUAA